rnacentral:rRNA from 1 species
GAUGAACGCUGGCGGUGUGCCUAAUACAUGCAAGUCGAGCGAACAGAUGAGGAGCUUACUCCUCUGACGUUAGCGGCGGACGGGUGAGUAACACGUGGAUAACCUACCUAUAAGACUGGGAUAACUUCGGGAAACCGGAGCUAAUACCGGAUAACAUGUUGAACCGCAUGGUUCAACAGUGAAAGACGGUCUUGCUGUCACUUAUAGAUGGAUCCGCGUCGCAUUAGCUAGUUGGUAAGGUAACGGCUUACCAAGGCAACGAUGCGUAGCCGACCUGAGAGGGUGAUCGGCCACACUGGAACUGAGACACGGUCCAGACUCCUACGGGAGGAAGCAGUAGGGAAUCUUCCGCAAUGGGCGAAAGCCUGACGGAGCAACGCCGCGUGAGUGAAGAAGGUCUUCGGAUCGUAAAACUCUGUUAUUAGGGAAGAACAAAUGUGUAAGUAACUAUGCACGUCUUGACGGUACCUAAUCAGAAAGCCACGGCUAACUACGUG